GAAGGGCCAAACUUGAGCAAACAGGGUAAAAACAGGAACUAAAAGGACAGGAUGCAAUUUUAUGGUUUUUCUGAGAACUAAAGUGGGAAAACAAGUUUACCCCCCUAGGUGACUCAACUGUUGAAUUCAGAGGGACCAAUAGGAAGGCUGUUGCUGUGCUAAGCUAAGACCUAACCCACCUGUUCCCUAUAAAAGAUCUAUACCC
rnacentral:lncRNA from 1 species